GACGAACGCUGGCGGCGUGCUUAACACAUGCAAGUCGAACGGAAAGGCCUCUUUCGGGGGGUACUCGAGUGGCGAACGGGUGAGUAACACGUGAGUAACCUGCCCUUGACUUUGGGAUAACUUCAGGAAACUGGGGCUAAUACCGGAUAGGAGCUCCUGCUGCAUGGUGGGGGUUGGAAAGUUUCGGCGGUUGGGGAUGGACUCGCGGCUUAUCAGCUUGUUGGUGGGGUAGUGGCUUACCAAGGCCUUGACGGGUAGCCGGACUGAGAGGGUGACCGGCCGCAUUGGGACUGAGAGACGGCCCAGACUCCUACGGGAGGAAGCAGGGGGGAAUAUUGCACAAUGGGUGGAAGCCUGAUGCAGCAACGCCGUGUGCGGGAUGACGGCCUUCGGGUUGUAAACCGCUUUCGCUCAUGACGAAGCUUUGUGUGACGGUAGUGGGUAAAGAAGCACCGGCUAACUACGUG
rnacentral:rRNA from 1 species